rnacentral:antisense_RNA from 1 species
AAUAACGGUGGCGCUGGCGGAGCAGCCGUAAGGCUGGCCGUUUUUCUAUAUGGGCGGUAUUCCUACCUCUGUCAGCGCUACCCCCCGA